rnacentral:rRNA from 1 species
GGUUGUACCAUGGCGUUGGUCAAGAUGGGUUCGACUCGCAGGAUUAGGGUGGGAGGGAGGUGGUUCGCACUUCGGUGUGAAUGUUAUAUCCUUGCACCUUUGCUGUGGGUUGGACCGAGGUCAACCUUGCGCCUCUGGCUGAGCUCUGCUCAUGCAAGGUACGGAUCUUGACGAAAUGGUUUUCUUUCACCCGUCUUGAAACACGGACCAAGGAGUCUAACAUAUAUGCGAGUACAGGGGUGGCAAACCCCCGUGCGCAAUGAAAGUAAAGGGCUGCUUCUGCGGUCUGAGGUGGGAUCUGUCAAAGGUGCACCAUCGACCGACCAUGAUUCUUCGGAUGAAAGGUUUGAGUGUGAGCAUUUAUGUUGGGACCCGAAAGAUGGUGAACUAUGCCUGAGUAGGGCGAAGCCAGGGGAAACUCUGGUGGAGGCUCGUAGCGAUUGUGACGUGCAAAUCCAUCGUGACUGGAUAGCUU